rnacentral:rRNA from 1 species
UACAGAGGGUGCGAGCGUUGUUCGGAAUUACUGGGCGUAAAGCGCGCGCAGGCGGCCCUUUAAGUCCGUCGGUCAAAUGCCGGGGCUCAACCCCGGGCGUGCCGAGGAUACUGGAGGGCUGGAGACACGUAGAGGCAAGCGGAAUUCCGGGUGUAGCGGUGGAAUGCGUAGAGAUCCGGAAGAACACCGGAGGCGAAGGCGGCUUGCUGGGCGUGAUCUGACGCUGAGGCGCGAAAGCGUGGGGAGCGAACAGG